UAUACAUUUGGUUAUGUUAAUUGUACACUAAAGCUUCUUUUGCAAGCUCUAUGUUCCAUCUAGGUUUUAGAGAGAUCAGGUUUAAAGGCUUGAACAAAUUUUAAGUUCGAAGAGAAUUUUAGGGGAAACCAUCAGACAUGAAACCCUUCGUCCUUUUAUUAGAGAUAUUGAGAUAUAGAGAGAGAGAGAGAGAGCGAUAGAAAGAUUGCAAAGAGAGAGAGAGAGGGAAUCGAUUUCACGGUAAUUUGAUGGUGGUGGGUUGAGGCGCAGCUGGAGAGAGACAGUGUUUCAUGGCGGUGGUUCUGCCGCCAGUGAUGGUGGUGGUUUGCCGAGCGAAGAUGACGCCAUCGCAUCCGGCGGUCCGGCCCGGCGCCGGACAGCAGAGUGUUUUUUCCGAGUUAACUAUUUGUUUGAAUCCGUUAGUGACUCCUAACAUCGCAUCCGGCGGUCCGGCCCAGCGGCACACAGCGGAGGGUUUGGGAGUUAAUUUUUUUGUUUGAGUUUUAGUGUAUACGGGUCCUAACCGGGCUUUGUGUGCGACAUUUUUUAUUUGAAAUAUAGUAUUUGAAAUGAUAACCUUAUUUUAUGUUUUGAGCAGGUUGGAAGUUGGAUAGUGGUGUUUUGUUGAACCUUUAUCUUGUAUGCAAAGCUCAGUGUGUCUUCCCUCGGCACCUACAUUUAGGACAAUAUUUGGAGUUCAUUAGGUAAACUGCGAAGCUCAGUGCAACAGUUUUGCUGAACCUUUAUCUUGUAGCGCAACUGAUUUGCUGGUGCUCAUUUAGGCUAUAGGGUGUGGUCAUGACCCUUAUGACCACCAUGACCCUCCAUGUUUGUGCCAUGUAACUCAUCUUUAAUCCACCAUCCAAAACCACUACCCUAAGGGUGUGGUCAUGACCCAAACCAUUAGCCCCUUAUUUAUUAUCUUUGUCUAAACAAAAAGGAAAUGAUUUGUUGAAAAAUGGAAAGGAGGACCAUGGUUGCCAUGGUUUAAUCCAUGCAAACCAUGGUGGAUCAAUCAAGGGGGUGGUGUAGCAUUCCAUUCAUGUUCCUAUGUGGCAAAUCAUGUCCCAACCAUGAUCCCCACACCCUAUAGCCUUAUAAAAACUUACCAGGACAAAGGAGUUCAUUAGGUAAAUUACACCACAAAUUAGUUGCGCUAACCAGUGGGUUAAGCGUGUUAAUUUAAAGAACCUGGGUCACUUUUAAUUACCAGAUGAGUUGUUAAAAGCUUGAACCAGUGGGUGUUAAACGGGUCAGUUUUAUGAACCUGAUAAGUUCUUAUAAAUGGGCACCAACAUUUUAAUCUUUUGCUAAAAGAAUUGUGCGCCUCAUUGUGUUGGGUCAAACAGGUCCAACUUUGUACAACAGGCCAAUCGAUUUGUUUUUAAAUGGCUCAAGCAGAUCUGAUUUAUUAAACAGGUAAAACAAUCAUCUUUACUUAAACGGGUCACGUGGGUUAUAUAACUUAUAUUUAUUGAACGGACAAUUUUUUUACAAGGGCCAACUGGGUCAGUUUUAAGUUGGUACUUUCUUAUUAGUGGUCACUAACACUUUUGAUUUAUUCCAUCAUUUUUGUGUCUGUUUGCCGCAUAGUUCUAAAGUUUUUAUUACAUGGGUCAAUCGAUUCGCUUUAUUAAAUGGCUCAAGUGGGCCAGUUUUAUUAAACAGGUUGAACGAUCAGUUUCUCUUAAACGUCGAGUGAGUUAGUGUUAUUAAAUGGGUCAAAAGGGAAAGUUUUCCUACACAGGCCAACUGGAUCAGUUUCAAUGACCUGGUGAGUUUUUAUAAACGUUAAGAGUAGUUUUAAAAUUGAGGCAUCCAAGCACCUAAGGUGUUGCGUAGCCGUAAAAUAUAAAUGAUUUUUUGCUAAUAAACAUUGAAUCAGAUAAUGGUUGCCAUUAGUUUUUUUUGUUGGGAAUUGCUAACAUAUAGAGAAGUUAGGCUAGACUUAAUUAUGAGGUAAAUGAAAUGAUUCCUGGAUGUUCGAUCUAUAUCUACCAGGCUUAAAUUUAUUUAUAUCAAAAUCAACAUACACUCAAGGAGCCUUAAUUCUGAGCUUUUCGUAGGAUGUUAUCUAAAUUAAUCGGUCCUGAUGCAACCAAUUUACGCAUCAAAGGUGUCGCGUGUGGCCGAGGAGCUGAUGUAACUGAUCUAUCUUCUCACUGGCUUGUUGUAUGUUCAACCAUGUAUUUUCCAACCACUAUAGCAGCCCUAUGAACAACAAGUUUCCUCAUAGAUCAAGUGAUUCCUUCAAACAAUUUAUAUGGUGAAGCACAUGUGACGCAGCAACUUUAAACUUCAUUGAGGAAUGAGGCAUAUGACUGAACACUUUAUGCUUAAAAUGCCUUCUCCAUGACCUCUUUCAUUCAACUACACUUCAAAUUGUCAUGGAGUAAUCAUAGUUUGCAUCACCUCAGUUAGCGGAUUAUGGCGUCGAUAGACCGACCAUGGGAGAUGUAUUGUGGAACAUGGAACAUGCACUUUAGCUUCAAGAAGUCGAAAGUGCAAAUGCAACUAGCAUCUGUCAAACCAGCGAGCGAGACAUUACAUCCAGUGUUGGCUCUAGCAAUAUAUGCUGAUGAUUGACUUGCUUUCAGGCACGAGAACAAGCCAAGUUUUUCACAGUUGGUAGCCAACGAUUAUAGGUAACAAGUUGUCGAUUUCAAUUAGCCAUUUACUAUUAUUUGUUUAUGCUUUGCAUAAAUAAUGUAGUUUUGAUAAUCUUUGUAAAACAAAGGGUCUAUGCCAUCAUCAAGGAUAAGACUUCAACUAUUGGAUCUGGUCAUUCAAGGAAGUUGGCAUGAUGCUAUAAUGUCACGUUUAUAAUAUUUGUAUUUUUUUGGUAGAGAAGAAAUGAUAUCAUUGUUUAGUUA